UACGGAGGGUGCAAGCGUUAUCCGGAUUCACUGGGUUUAAAGGGUGCGUAGGUGGGCUAGUAAGUCCGUGGUGAAAUCCCCGAGCUUAACUCGGGAACUGCCGUGGAUACUAUUAGUCUUGAAUAUUGUGGAGGUAAGCGGAAUAUGUCAUGUAGCGGUGAAAUGCUUAGAUAUGACAUAGAACACCAAUUGCGAAGGCAGCUUACUACACAGUUAUUGACGCUGAGGCACGAAAGCGUGGGGAUCAAACAGG
rnacentral:rRNA from 1 species